UACCAGCUCUCCGAGUGGUGUGGAUGUUUAUUGGGCCUAAAGCAUCCGUAGCUGGCUGGACAAGUCCCCUGUUAAAUCCACCGAUUUAAUCGUUGGAGUGCGGGGGAUACUGUUCGGCUAGGGGACGGGAGAGGCAGACGGUAUUUUCGGGGUAGGGGUGAAAUCCUAUAAUCCCUGGAAGACCACCAGUGGCGAAGGCUGUCUGCUAGAACGCGCCCGACGGUGAGGGAUGAAAGCUGGGGGAGCGGACCGGAUUAGAUACCCGGGUAGUCCCAGCUGUAAACGAUGCAGGCUAGGUGUUUGGGCGGCCACGUGCCGCUCUAGUGCCGCAGGGAAGCCGUUAAGCCUGCCGCCUGGGGAGUACGGCCGCAAGGCUGAAACUUAAAGGAAUUGGCGGGGAGCACCACAAGGCGUGAAGCUUGCGGUUC
rnacentral:rRNA from 1 species